GAGGAUCGCUCCUCCCGCGAGUGCUGAUCAUCCCAAACACCACCGCCAGCUUCUCGCUGUGGAAGCUCAGCGAUUGCUCCUUCUCCUCGUCGUCGAAGUCGUGGAGUACGUUGCUCGUAUCGGGUACGUAUCCGGCCUCUCUCAUCUUUGCAUUGAAACUGUGGAGCUCGUCCAGGAUCGCGCUGAUUUCGGGGUGGUUUUUCCCUCCCGCCACGAACUCGUGAGCUCUACCUUUGAUCGUGAUGCUACUUAGACCCGCGGGCUUUCUUAAACGCCUGGCGUCCAUAGCCUUCCUCAC
rnacentral:lncRNA from 1 species